rnacentral:rRNA from 1 species
GCAUAACAACUUGGACCGCAUGGUCCGAGCUUGAAAGAUGGCUUCGGCUAUCACUUUUGGAUGGUCCCGCGGCGUAUUAGCUAGAUGGUGGGGUAACGGCUCACCAUGGCAAUGAUACGUAGCCGACCUGAGAGGGUAAUCGGCCACAUUGGGACUGAGACACGGCCCAAACUCCUACGGGAGGCAGCAGUAGGGAAUCUUCCACAAUGGACGAAAGUCUGAUGGAGCAACGCCGCGUGAGUGAAGAAGGGUUUCGGCUCGUAAAACUCUGUUGUUAAAGAAGAACAUAUCUGAGAGUAACUGUUCAGGUAUUGACGGUAUUUAACCAGAAAGCCACGGCUAACUACGUGCCAGCAGCCGCGGUAAUACGUAGGUGGCAAGCGUUGUCCGGAUUUAUUGGGCGUAAAGCGAGCGCAGGCGGUUUUUUAAGUCUGAUGUGAAAGCCUUCGGCUCAACCGAAGAAGUGCAUCGGAAACUGGGAAACUUGAGUGCAGAAGAGGACAGUGGAACUCCAUGUGUAGCGGUGAAAUGCGUAGAUAUAUGGAAGAACACCAGUGGCGAAGGCGGCUGUCUGGUCUGUAACUGACGCUGAGGCUCGAAAGUAUGGGUAGCAAACAGGAUUAGAUACCCUGGUAGUCCAUACCGUAAACGAUGAAUGCUAAGUGUUGGAGGGUUUCCGCCCUUCAGUGCUGCAGCUAACGCAUUAAGCAUUCCGCCUGGGGAGUACGGCCGCAAGGCUGAAACUCAAAGGAAUUGACGGGGGCCCGCACAAGCGGUGGAGCAUGUGGUUUAAUUCGAAGCUACGCGAAGAACCUUACCAGGUCUUGACAUACUAUGCAAAUCUAAGAGAUUAGACGUUCCCUUCGGGGACAUGGAUACAGGUGGUGCAUGGUUGUCGUCAGCUCGUGUCGUGAGAUGUUGGGUUAAGUCCCGCAACGAGCGCAACCCUUAUUAUCAGUUGCCAGCAUUAAGUUGGGCACUCUGGUGAGACUGCCGGUGACAAACCGGAGGAAGGUGGGGAUGACGUCAAAUCAUCAUGCCCCUUAUGACCUGGGCUACACACGUGCUACAAUGGAUGGUACAACGAGUUGCGAACUCGCGAGAGUAAGCUAAUCUCUUAAAGCCAUUCUCAGUUCGGAUUGUAGGCUGCAACUCGCCUACAUGAAGUCGGAAUCC